rnacentral:lncRNA from 1 species
ACCAUUUGUCACCAAUAUCUACUGCCCAAUCAUUUUCGUAAUAAAUCUUCCAAAUCAGAAAAAAAAAUGAUUUUACCACUUGAUCAGAAUAAAAAAGAGCCAUGACAUGAAAAGCCUGUCCUUAUCCUUUUCUCCAUUCGCUCCAAAAUUGACUCACCUUUGUUGAGGAGUAAUACUUGCAUUGUGGCUGCACGUGGAUGCUGUUUUAAUAACAUAUUUUCUUUACUUGUUCAGUUUGUUUCAUUGUACUGAUGGUUAGCAUUAAUGUAGUGUUUGAG